AGCAGCCGCGGUAAUUCCAGCUCCAAUAGCGUAUAUUAAAGUUGUUGCAGUUAAAAAGCUCGUAGUUGAAUUUCGGGAUCAAGGAAUCGGUCAUGCCUCGGUAUGUACUGGUUUUAUUGGUUCUCACCUUCUAAAGAACCAUAAUGUCAUUCAUUUAAUGUUAUGGGGAAUUAGGACUGUUACCUUGAAAAAUUAGAGUGUUUAAAGCAGGCUCACGCUUGAAUACAUUAGCAUGGAAUAAUGAAAUAGGACGUUUGAUUCUAUUUUGUUGGUUUCUAGGAUCGACGUAAUGAUUAAUAGGGAUAGUUGGGGGCAUUAGUGUUCAAUUGUCAGAGGUGAAAUUCUUGGAUUUAUUGAAGACUAACUACUGCGAAAGCAUUUGCCAAGGAUGUUUUCAUUAAUCAAGAACGAAAGUUAGGGGAUCGAAGACGAUCAGAUACCGUCGUAGUCUUAACCAUAAACUAUGCCGACUAGGGAUCGGAUGAUGUUAAUUUUUUAAUGUACUCUA
rnacentral:rRNA from 1 species